CCUACGGGAGGCAGCAGUGGGGAAUAUUGCACAAUGGGGGGAACCUUGAUGCAGCAACGCCGCGUGGGUGAAGAAGUACUCCGGUAUGUAAAGCCCUGUCAGCAGGGAAGAAAAUGACGGUACCUGACCAAGAAGCCCCGUCUAACUACGUGCCAGCAGCCCCGGUAAUACGUAGGGGGCAAGCGUUAUCCGGAUUUACUGGGUGUAAAGGGAGCGUAGACGGCAAGGCAAGUCUGGAGUGAAAGCCCGUGGCGCAACCACGGGACUGCUUUGGAUACUGUGUUGCUGGAGUGCAGGAGGGGUAAGCGGAAUGCCUAGUGUAGCGGUGAAAUGCGUAGAUAUUAGGAGGAACACCGGUGGCGAAGGCGGCUUACUGAACUGUAACUGACGUUGAGGCUCGAAGGCGUGGGGAGCAAACAGGAUUAGAUACCCUGGUAGUC
rnacentral:rRNA from 1 species